rnacentral:misc_RNA from 1 species
AGCGUAAUCCCCUAGCUUCGUGUUUGAAUGAACCUGGCAGCCUCCUAACAAUGCCUUCCAAAAUCCUAUACCUGGAUCAAAAGGCAAAUCAUGAAUGAAUUUCUCAGCUUGUUUAAACCUCCCUGAACGCGAUAGCAGGUCAACCAUACAUGCAUAGUGCUCAGAUUUCAGUAGAUUAGCAUCCCGAGUUCUUGCCUGCUCAAAAUAUGAAUAAGCCUCAUCAACAAGACCAACAUGACUACACGCCAGUAACAAACCAAGAAGCGUAACACUAUUUGACUUAAU